rnacentral:misc_RNA from 1 species
GGACAACAGGUACAUUGAGAGCUUGUGCAGGAUCAGCAAGGGGUAGGAGCAGUCUGAGUGCAGACUUCGAAGAUGUGUAAUCCAGUGACGAAGCCAAAGUUACAAUAGCAGUUAAUCCAGGCUCUCUUCCUUGCAAUCCACACUGUGAUAGCCAAGCAUAUAGUAAUAUUCCUCCCAUAGAAUGUCCAAUGGCAAGAAGUUUACCAUCUUUUGGUGCAGUUUGGGCCUUAAUGUAUUCCAUC